UCAAUGGAGAGUUUGAUCCUGGCUCAGGACGAACGCUGGCGGCGUGCUUAACACAUGCAAGUCGAACGAGAUCCACGCAGUCGCAAGACUGCCGAAGAUCGAGUGGCGAACGGGUGCGUAACACGUGAGAAACCUGUCCCGGUCUCUGGAAUAACAGAUGGAAACAUCUGCUAAUACCGGAUGCCGUCGGACCGUCGCAUGGCGGACUGACGAAAGGGCUUACCGGAUCGGGAGGGUCUCGCGGCCUAUCAGCUUGUUGGUGAGGUAAUGGCUCACCAAGGCAUCGACGGGUAGCUGGUCUGAGAGGAUGAUCAGCCACACUGGGACUGAGACACGGCCCAGACUCCUACGGGAGGCAGCAGUGGGGAAUCUUGCACAAUGGGCGAAAGCCUGAUG
rnacentral:rRNA from 1 species